rnacentral:rRNA from 1 species
CCGCGAGGUCAAGCAAAUCCCAUAAAGUUGUUCUCAGUUCGGAUUGUAGUCUGCAACUCGACUAUAUGAAGCUGGAAUCGCUAGUAAUCGUAGAUCAGCAUGCUACGGUGAAUACGUUCCCGGGUCUUGUACACACCGCCCGUCACACCACGAGAGUUUGUAACACCCGAAGCCGGUGGAGUAACCAUUUGGAGCUAGCCGUCGAAGGUGGGACAAAUGAUUGGGGUGAAGUCGUAACAAGGUAGCCGUAUCGGAAGGUGCGGCUGGAUCACCUCCUUUCUAAGGA